UUUCUUGAGACAAAACAUGCAUC
rnacentral:miRNA from 1 species